GACGAACGCUGGCGGCGUGCUUAACACAUGCAAGUCGAGCGAGCGGCGAACGGGUGAGUAAUGUCUGGGAAACUGCCCGAUGGAGGGGGAUAACUACUGGAAACGGUAGCUAAUACCGCAUACCAUCGGAUGUGCCCAGAUGGGAUUAGCUAGUAGGUGGGGUAACGGCUCACCUAGGCGACGAUCCCUAGCUGGUCUGAGAGGAUGACCAGCCACACUGGUACUGAGACAGGGUCCAGACUCCAACGGGAGGCAGCAGUGGGGAAUAUUGCACAAUGGGCGCAAGCCUGAGGCAGCCAUGCCGGGUUUAUGAAGAAGGCCUUCGGGUUGUAAACCGCUUUCAGCCAUGACGCGGUAGUGGCAGAAGAAGCACCGGCUAACUACGUGCCAGCAGCCGCGGUAAUUC
rnacentral:rRNA from 1 species